rnacentral:rRNA from 1 species
CCUACGGGAGGCAGCAGUAGGGAAUCUUUCACAAUGGGCGAAAGCCUGAUGGAGCAACGCCGCGUGCAGGAUGAAGGCCUUCGGGUUGUAAACUGCUUUUAUAAGCGAGAAAUAUGAUGGUAACUUAUGAAUAAGGAUCGGCUAACUACGUGCCAGCAGCCGCGGUCAUACGUAGGAUCCGAGCAUUAUCCGGAGUGACUGGGGGUAAAGAGUUGCGUAGGUGGCAUAAUAAGUAGCUAGUGAAAUCUGGUGGCUCAACCAUUCAGACUAUUAGCUAAACUGUUAAGCUCGAGACCGUUAGGGGUAACUGGAAUUUCUAGUGUAGGAGUGAAAUCCGUAGAUAUUAGAAGGAACACCAAUAGCGUAGGCAGGUUGCUGGGACGGUUCUGACACUAAGGCACGAAAGCGUAGGGAGCAAACGGGAUUAGAUACCCCAGUAGUC